GGUAGGUGAACCUGCGGAGGGAUCAUUACACAAAUAUGAAGGCGGGCUGGAACCUCUCGGGGUUACAGCCUUGCUGAAUUAUUCACCCUUGUCUUUUGCGUACUUCUUGUUUCCUUGGUGGGUUCGCCCACCACUAGGACAAACAUAAACCUUUUGUAAUUGCAAUCAGCGUCAGUAACAAAUUAAUAAUUACAACUUUCAACAACGGAUCUCUUGGUUCUGGCAUCGAUGAAGAACGCAGCGAAAUGCGAUAAGUAGUGUGAAUUGCAGAAUUCAGUGAAUCAUCGAAUCUUUGAACGCACAUUGCGCCCUUUGGUAUUCCAAAGGGCAUGCCUGUUCGAGCGUCAUUUGUACCCUCAAGCUUUGCUUGGUGUUGGGCGUCUUGUCUCUAGCUUUGCUGGAGACUCGCCUUAAAGUAAUUGGCAGCCGGCCUACUGGUUUCGGAGCGCAGCACAAGUCGCACUCUCUAUCAGCAAAGGUCUAGCAUCCAUUAAGCCUUUUUCAACUUUGACCUCGGAUCAGUAGGGAUACCCGCUGAACUUAAGCAUAUCAAUAAGCGGAGGAA
rnacentral:rRNA from 1 species